UACGUAGGGUGCGAGCGUUGUCCGGAAUUACUGGGCGUAAAGAGCUCGUAGGUGGUUUGUCGCGUUGUUCGUGAAAUGCCACAGCUUAACUGUGGGCGUGCGGGCGAUACGGGCAGACUGGAGUACUGCAGGGGAGACUGGAAUUCCUGGUGUAGCGGUGGAAUGCGCAGAUAUCGGGAAGAACACCCGUGGCGAAGGCGGCUCUCUGGGACGGUACUGACGCUGAGACGCGAAAGCGUGGGGAGCGAACAGG
rnacentral:rRNA from 1 species